rnacentral:rRNA from 1 species
GAUGAACGCUGGCGGCGUGCCUAAUACAUGCAAGUCGAGCGAACAGACGAGGAGCUUGCUCCUCUGACGUUAGCGGCGGACGGGUGAGUAACACGUGGAUAACCUACCUAUAAGACUGGGAUAACUUCGGGAAACCGGAGCUAAUACCGGAUAAUAUAUUGAACCGCAUGGUUCAAUAGUGAAAGACGGUUUUGCUGUCACUUAUAGAUGGAUCCGCGCCGCAUUAGCUAGUUGGUAAGGUAACGGCUUACCAAGGCAACGAUGCGUAGCCGACCUGAGAGGCUGAUCGGCCACACUGGAACGGAGCCACGGUCCAGACUCCUACGGGAGGCAGCAGUAGGGAAUCUUCCGCAAUGGGCGAAAGCCUGACGGAGCAACGCCGCGUGAGUGAUGAAGGUCUUCGGAUCGUAAAACUCUGUUAUUAGGGAAGAACAAAUGUGUAAGUAACUAUGCACGUCUUGACGGUACCUAAUCAGAAAGCCACGGCUAACUACGUG